ACUACGGGAGGCAGCAGUGAGGAAUAUUGGUCAAUGGCCGUAAGGCUGAACCAGCCAAGUCGCGUGAAGGAAGAAGGAUCUAUGGUUUGUAAACUUCUUUUAUAGGGGAAUAAAGGGAUCCACGUGUGGAUAUUUGCAUGUACCCUAUGAAUAAGCAUGGGCUAACUCCGUGCCAGCAGCCGCGGUAAUACGGGGGAUGCGAGCGUUAUCCGGAUUUAUUGGGUUUAAAGGGUGCGUAGGGGGUUUUUUAAGUCAGCGGUGAAAGUUUGUGGCUCAACCAUAAAAUUGCCGUUGAAAAUGGCAGACUUGAGUGUGUUUGCGGUAGGCGUAAUGCGUGGUGUAGCGGUGAAAUGCAUAGAUAUCACGCAGAACUCCGAUUGCGAAGGCAGCUUACUAAGCCAUAACUGACACUGACGCACGAAAGCGUGGGGAUCAAACAGGAUUAGAUACCCCUGUAGUC
rnacentral:rRNA from 1 species